AUAACACCUCAAAUGAAGAAUUCGAGGUUCAAUGUAGAACUAAAAUUUCGACUCGGGUGUAAAUGGGAAAAGACACACGACAAAUAAACGCGCGGUGUGCAAACACGUGCACCCUUACGUUCCUCAAAAUUGCAACAUAUUCCUUCAAGUCUACAAUCAUCGAGAUUGCUGUCGUAAAGCUUCCCGUCUCAGCGAGCUUUACCCUCGCACGCAUCCUCGCUUAUCGUUGAUAAUAAUCAUCGAUCGCCAUACAAUGGUUGGCAUCCUUCUCGCCUCGCGCAUGCAAUUAAGAACAAUGGGAAACGUUACCGACACCCAUGGGAAACGAUAACGCGUACACGCGACACUUUUCAUCGCGCUUAAUUAAUCAAGAGGAGUAAACAAGAGAAAGAGAGAGAGAGAGAGAUCGACGAUAAAUCGGAUACCUGUGAAUGGUAGCACGCGUAUCACGUAUGCCGCGAUGCGUGACACGUGCAACGCUUCAUUACGCGAUUCGCUCGACAGGUCAGGCUGACAACAAUAAUUCAUCGAAGUGGUGCAUCGCUGUUUGCUAUUGCUUCGUUAGAUUCGCCGGGACCUCGCGUUGCAUCGCGAAGAACCGCGUGGCGAGAAUAAGAUGACAUUGAAUCUAUCGAGCGACGCGUGCGCCCGCGUGUGCCAACUUUGGCGUAAGGUUCAUUCGCCACCGACUUUGUUCAACUAUUCGUGUAUCAGCCUCGUUCCAGAAUGUAAGGUUCGGACGCACACAAACUCGUGCGAAGCUUCUCUCGAUCUGGAUCAGGAGUCGUUUGAGCACGUAACGUCCAAAACGUGGACUUAACUUUAUUUUUUACCAGCAAAGUUCGCCAGUAAAACGAGAAGAUAUUAUACAUCGUGGUAGACUCAUUGGCAAAAGACCCGAAAGGAUCGGAGACGGAUCGAGUUCACUUUCUGCCGAUACCGGUCAUGUCGACGACAUGAUGACGAUGAAAGGCAACCACGUACCUUAAGGAACGUCGGUCGGUGGACGAUCGAAGACGAAGAAACGGACAAUCAUCAGCGUCUUGUGGUGUCUAUCGGUACAUUGGUGCACUGUAUUCGCGCGUACGAGUCACUGCCGCAAUCACCGUAUCGGACUGCAACGCGAUUCGAUCGACCGCACCGAGCACGCCGAGCAGAGUACUGGUAGAACGAGAACGUCUGAUCGCGGAGUAGCGGUGGUAACGGCGGCGGUAAUGACGACAAUGACGACGGCGGCGAUGGUGAUGACGACGCCAACCAGGGUCGCCCCCGAAGAGCGCGUUCCGCGCGAUCGAGGAGCACGCGAGCUCAAACACCGACAAUCGUCCCCCCACGUUCUAUACGCAAAGGGGGACGCUGGACUUUCACUGCUUGGUCAGCCGAGAGCCCGCAUGGCGAUUUUUCUGCGGCACUCACAGAAUUCGCCGAUCACUCGACGGCCUUCGUGUUAUUGAUAUUGUACAUUCGUAGUACUCGCGGAGGAUAUAAAUCAAUAAUGAUUAUAUAAGGUUCAUUAAUCUAAUCAGCAAUUCUCUUACAUAUCUCUUAUAUUAAUCCACGUUGCUUUUUAAUCCAUCCACGUGAAAUCUCCUUGCAGAACUCUUCGUUCACUCUCUGUACUCUGUGAUAUUGGAGUUUCCGAGAUACUCUCGCAAUUUUCCAGAUACAUUUUUAUAUCAACUUUGGAGAAUGGUGUGGACAAUAGUUUUAAUUCGAAAUUUUGUAUCUCGUCUCAUUUCUACAAUUUACUCGGAACGUUUCCAAGUUUGACCAAUUGCCACCUGAGUAUCGCAAUGUCCACCCAACGUGUCUAGCGUUACUAUUUAAGACCCGUUUUCGGUAGAAUAAAAAUUAUUUUUAUAACAGUUUCACGGUGCCCAAGGAUCCCUUCGCUUAUAGCGUGAAUAUCGAAAUUUUUAGGAACAUAGGUCGGCUUUGCGUUACUUUCACGUGCACACGCCGCGUCGCUGACAUUGAAGAAUUGGGAGACGCGUCAACGGUCAACCGGACCGCUGCCGAACGAGGUCAACGUGGAUACGAUAAUACUUUUGCAGCGACAGCGCGAAUCUUCGGUUACACGGAGAGAAAACGCGAGACCGUGGCCAUCACGUACACCGCGAUAUUCGAUUUAUCGUUCACACGUUACGUGCAGAUCCACGGCCGCGGUCGCGGAGGAGAAAGAAAGAGAGCAAUCGCUGCGUGUCACCUUAUCAUCAUGUGGACUUUAUUAUAUAAAGGGCUAAUGCUAAAAUGUACACAAGAUAAGUUAUUAAAAAUGUUCAUUAUUGCGGUAGUAAUAAUUAAUUAUACACAUGAAUAGAAUCGUCUUCUACUAGAGGUGAACGAUGAUCAAUCGGUUUCAUUUUUUUUCUUUUUUUUUCUUUUUUUCUCUUCGAGGGCUAUAACACUUUUAAAUAUAUGUACCAGAUCCGACGUAAUUUACUCGUAAUUAAAUUACAGCAAAUACACGUUCGCGUGUGAGACAGGGUCGGCGCAAAAACACAGAGCGGGCCGCCGCAUUACAAUACUAAUCGAGAGAUUUUGUCUUCUCUAGGUUCCCCUCAGCCGCCCCUCCCAUCAGCUUGCCGCGUGUCUCAAGCACCGAUCGCACACCGAUGACACUUCGCUCUGACGCCGCGCUUUCGCACGUGGCUCGCAAUGACCGAGUCGUUCUCGCUUACGUACUAAUUAAGUAAUCGCAUCUCUCGUGUGACGUAAUCAGAUUUUUAUUUAUCUAUGAUUAGAAGCCAAAAAACACACUGCUAGCACCAUCGAACAGUGCAGUUUUAUGUAGUUUCGUAUAAUCUUAAACAUACUGUCGGCGUUGAACUCGGCGCCUCGCGAUUCAACAAUACACUCCGUUCCAUCUUGUGUGUACAGUUUUAGGGUUUAUUCCUUCCUUUUUCUCGAUUUUUUUGCGAAGUAAUGCGCAAUCACAUUGCCUCACCCUUUACAGCCCACAAUACAAUUGGAGAUACAAUAUCGAAAUCGCAAGUGUGUGUGUGUGUGUGUAAAUUAACAGAUUCUAUUCUUGUUUUUUUUUAAUCUUUUAAAUCUAAUGCUCGUCCACGUGAACAGUAUGGUCGUAAGUGUACGCAGGUAUUAUAUUGUGGGUGAAAGGAGAAACACCUGGUCACGGAAAACUAAAUAAUAAUAUAAUAUUAAUAAUAAUAAUAUAAUAAUAAUAAAAUAAAAUAAUAAAAAGUCGUCGUUUUAAAGAAAACACCUGCACGCGAAACAGCGGUUAAAAGUAUCGAUGCGGG